rnacentral:lncRNA from 1 species
AACAUUCACUCAAACACAGACAUUCAACAUCAUUUACUACAAAACACAAUUCUGAAAAAACAUCAGAUAUGAGAAAUUCUAGAAAACUUUCAAAACUUUUCAUUUUUUUGUUUUCACAAGCUGAGAAACAUUGUUUAAAGUAGAGGAUUUUCUUGGUUCCUUUAGAUGGGAUUUCUGGUGUCAAAGCUCUCUAGAAUUGGUUCAAAAUUUCGGAAUUAUUUUAGGGUGCUGCUGCUGUGUUGGUUUUUGUUCUUGCAAGCUUCACACAACAUCGUUCUUUUCUUGCACCUUUUAUUCUCUGGUCUUGUUGUUAUUAAUAGGUAUUUAACCUUUGCUAUUCCUAUGUAAUGAUUUGUUAAAAUGAUAUAAAUAUUGGAUUUGUAAAUAGCAUGUGUAGAAAUGAAUGUCUUUCAUGAUAGCAGUUAGCGUAACUUGAUGUGCAUUUGAUCAAUUUAAGUUAUGUCUGUUUAAAGUUUAAAAAAUGAUUCAGCAUAUAACUUAGCUAAUACAUGAGUGUUGUGUGUGGCUUUAUCUUGUAAAAGUAGAUGUGCCUUGUAAUCAAACAUUUAGGUUAUUAAUGCUGAUUAUGAAGAGUUUUAGUUAAAUUUCUCCUUCCUCCUUUUCUCUGAUGGCUUUUUCUUUACUUAAACCCACUUGUUUUUCUUUCUUUGAUUGUUUGGCCAAGAGCUUCAACAUGCAGAUUUGGAAACUGAUUAAUUAAAACAACAGGUUCAAAAGCUUGAAAAUGGGACUCAUACUGUUUUUUAACAAAGAGAAAACUAAGCUCUAAUGGACAAGCCAUAUCCAAAAUAGGCAGGAAUUAUUUAGAACAUCAGUUAUACAAACAUGUAAUAGUUUAGCCUAAAUAUAGUUAGUUUAUGUAACAAGAUGAGUUGUUACAGCGCCUUACUAGUAUUAUUGAUAGGUGUUAAAAUGAUUUGUGUAUGUUCUGUAAAAUUUAAAUUUUAGUUGUUUAAGGAAGUUGGGAAUUUUAAUGUGGACUAGUUCAUAAAUGAGUUGAGUUGUAGUUUUUUUAAAGUGUGACUACCCGGCCCUUCGUCACAUGAGUUACCGUUCCUUUUCCCACAUAUUAUGUUCCCCUAUGAUUCAUUAUCGGUAUUCGAGGUGAUCGAGUAGAAUUGGAUUGGUUUUAAAUUGAAAUGAGACACUUAAUCUCUUAAAGGAAAGCUUCUGUUGGAAAAGUCAAUCGGAAGUUGACUAUUUAGUUAGAGGGAUUGGAUGUGGAUUUUGGUAAUUCGGUUAGCUUUGGGAGAUGAUUUUUACCUUAGUAGUGCGGUCGGAAUUGAAUUUGCAGGUUCAGUGUAGAAUUAGGCUUGAAUUGGCGAAGUUUAGUAUUUUGGCGGAUUCCAGUGGAUAGGUGAGAUUUUGAUCCGAGGGUUGGAAUGGAAUUCCAAAAGUGGCAGUAGCUCUAGUGGUAAUUUUGGAUAUGUGUACGAAUUUUUAGGUCAUUUGGACAUCCUUUGGUUGGGGUUUUGAUCGAGUGUGUGUUUCGAAAGUUUUGAAGAAAUUUAGGCCUGAAUAUGUGAGGAACGGAUGAUUUUUGUGUUGUUUGACGUGUUUUGAUUAUUGGAACAUGUUCAUAUGAUGACUUGGGGUAGAUUGGUGUUUUUGGUUGAGGUCCCAGGAGCCUUGGAGAUAUUUCAGGUGAUCAAACGGAUCAUUUUUGGACUUGUGUGAUUGCUGGUUUUCCAACUAUGGGAUUGCAGAGAAUUCCUUCAUCGCGUUUGCAUUGUAUGUGCUGCAGACGCGUAGAGCUAAGUUGGGACAACAGGAGGUUUUCAUCAUUUUUGCAUUUAUGCUAUGCGUUUAUGCAUUUGAGAGCCGUGGUGAAUUGCGUUCGCGGUGCUGGGCACGCAUUCGCGUAAAAGGAGGAAGGGGUCCAGCCUUGAUACUCUUCGUGUUCGAGAUUGAGGAGAUGCGUUCACAUAGGUCCGGGGGCCUGAGCCUUCGCAUUCGCGAGAGACCAGACACAUUCGCGAAGGGCAUUUUUUGUCACAGGGGAAAAUUGUACAUUGCGAACUCGAGAGGACCCUCACAUUCACAUAGAAAGAACUAGGCAUUCAGUAAGGGUUAAUUAAAGACAUUUCAUCCGCGACCCAUUUGAUAUUUACUCUAUUUUUUAACUAGCUCAAGAGCUUUUGGGUAGAAAUUGAAAAGAUUUUUGACGGAAAUCAACUGGAGGUAAGUCUCGUGACCUAGAAACACUAUUUUAAUGAAGAAUCUAACUUUGACUGUGCGAAAAAUUGGGUGAAAAUUUGAAGAAAUAGUGCUUGAGUUUUGAAAUUAAAAUUUGGGAUUUGAAGGAGCAUUUGAACUCCGAUAUCGGUAAAUUUGAUAUGUAUAGACUCAUGCCGAGAUAAGGAUCGUUUUGAUGUAAUGUUUUCUGGAUUUUGAGAAGUGGCCCGCGUUCGGGUUUUGCCAACUUCGUGAUUUUUUGUGUCUUUCGAAUUCUUUUGAUUGGGUUAUGUUUCUCUAGUUUAUUGUAAUAUAUUUAUUGUGGUUAUGGCCAGGUUCAACGCGCGAGGAGUUUGAUUCAAUGGGAAAGGCUUAGCGGACUAGUCUUGUGGCCGAAUUGAGGUAAGUAAUAGAUGUAGAUGAUGACCUGAGGGUUUGAAACCCCAAUUUAUCACAAUGUGACUCUAUAUUGAGGCGAGACACUGGUGGGGAUAUUGGCUUAGUCCGGCCCGAGUGGUGUCCAAGUUGUGCUUUGGACUAUUGACUGAUAGCAAACAUCCUACUUGGAUUGUUAUGAUAUAUUUGGACUGUGUACCAAUUAUUUGAAUCUUUUUGGGAUUAUUAUCACUGCUUCCAUGAUGAUUAGCAUGUUAUUUGAGUUCAGUCCUAAGUUUAAAUACUGUUUCGAAAUACUUAGUCAAACUCCUAAGGUUUUAAAGACUUAAACGAUAAUUUCCUAAUAAUUUAAACUGAGAAUAAAAAUAUGACUUUGCUUUAUAACUCACAUGCAUAAUCUGGAGUGAGUGUGGGUUGGGCCGAACACUGCAACGAUAAUACGAUGAUAUUGUUCUUGGGGUUUAGGAGCCCCUCCGGAGUCUGAAUCCCCUUUGUGAGUGUGGAUACCCAAAUGGAUCGGGCUCUACGCCGCAGGGGUCAUGUGCAUUGCAUUGGAUUCAUGCUUUGAUGUUUAUCUGAUCUAGCUAUUUCUGUUUUUUGCCGUUUCACCGUUGAUUAUGCUAAGUUGAUAGUUUUAGCUUUACAUUGUGGUAUUUUUGGGAUUUCUUACUUUCAUCCAUCUAUUACCAUUGAGUUGGGAGUACUCACUUUACUCCAUGCACCAUGUGUGCAGAUUCAGGUGUAUCGAGAGCUUAGUCGAGUUGUUUGUUGCUUCCAGAGCUUUCAUAAGUUGUCGAG